rnacentral:rRNA from 1 species
UACGUAGGGGGCAAGCGUUGUUCGGAAUUACUGGGCGUAAAGGGCGCGUAGGCGGCAUGGCAAGUCGGGAGUGAAAGGCCUGGGCUCAACCGAGGAACUGCUUUCGAGACUGCCAAGCUAGAGUGCGGAAGGGGCAUCUGGAAUUCUCAGUGUAGCGGUGAAAUGCGUAGAUAUUGGGAAGACCACCUGAGGCGAAGGCGGGAUGCUGGGCCGACACUGACGCUGAGGCGCGAAAGCCAGGGGAGCAAACGGG